rnacentral:pre_miRNA from 1 species
CCACGGAAAAGGGUGUUAAAUGAAGACUUAGGGCUUCGGGCAUAUCGAAGAAAAACAGGACAUCGUUUGGAUGCUCGUCUAAUGGA